GCCUGGGUGGCUCAGUCGGUUGAGCGUCCGACUUCAGCUCGGGUCAUGAUCUCGCAGUCUGUGAGUUCGAGCCCCGCAUCGGGCU
rnacentral:tRNA from 1 species